AGUCCUUAAUUGAACAACUGCAUGAUGCUUUUUUCCCUGUGGCAUCAGCCUUCAUUGAAUGCAUGGGAUGGAAGGACUUACUGAAGAAGUGGCCUUAGGCAGGCAGCGCCAAAUAAUGCUGUAGCAUGAUCCAGCCAAGCCGGGUAUGUGGAAAAGGAGCCUUGCAUGAGUGAAACCUGCAGUUCAGGCCACUAGCUAAACAUCCCAUAGGAACAGCUCCCAGCGUGUGAGGAUCAGAAUGUAUGAGGAAAGCAACCUAAACCUGUGGAGGAAAGCCCUUUUGACUGGACCUUGGUGUGACACACACCUCAUCGCAGGCAUCUUGUCUGCCUCAAGCCACCAGAGCAAUAAGGUCAUCCAGCAUUGUCUCAGGGCUGAGUAAAAACCC